CCUACGGGAGGCAGCAGUGAGGAAUAUUGGUCAAUGGGCGAGAGCCUGAACCAGCCAAGUCGCGUGAGGGAUGACGGUCCUAUGGAUUGUAAACCUCUUUUGUCGGGGAACAAAGGCGUCCACGUGUGGACUGAUGAGUGUACCCGAAGAAAAAGCAUCGGCUAACUCCGUGCCAGCAGCCGCGGUAAUACGGAGGAUGCGAGCGUUAUCCGGAUUUAUUGGGUUUAAAGGGUGGGUAGGCGGACAGUGAACUCAGCGGUAAAAAUGCGGUGUUCAACGACGAACAGCCGUUGAAACUGGUAGUCUUGAGUGGGCGAGAAGUAUGCGGAAGGCGUGGUGUAGCGGUGGAAUGCAUAGAUAUCACGAAGAACUCCGAUUGCGAAGGCAGCAUACCGGCGCCCUACUGACGCUGAGGCACGAAAGCGUGGGUAUCGAACAGGAUUAGAUACCCGGGUAGUC
rnacentral:rRNA from 1 species